rnacentral:rRNA from 1 species
UAGGGAAUCUUCCACAAUGGACGCAAGUCUGAUGGAGCAACGCCGCGUGAGUGAAGAAGGUCUUCGGAUCGUAAAGCUCUGUUGUUGGUGAAGAAGGAUAGAGGCAGUAACUGGUCUUUAUUUGACGGUAAUCAACCAGAAAGUCACGGCUAACUACGUGCCAGCAGCCGCGGUAAUACGUAGGUGGCAAGCGUUGUCCGGAUUUAUUGGGCGUAAAGCGAGCGCAGGCGGAAUGAUAAGUCUGAUGUGAAAGCCCACGGCUCAACCGUGGAACUGCAUCGGAAACUGUCAUUCUUGAGUGCAGAAGAGGAGAGUGGAACUCCAUGUGUAGCGGUGGAAUGCGUAGAUAUAUGGAAGAACACCAGUGGCGAAGGCGGCUCUCUGGUCUGCAACUGACGCUGAGGCUCGAAAGCAUGGGUAGCGAACAGGAUUAGAUACCCUGGUAGUCCAUGCCGUAAACGAUGAGCGCUAGGUGUUGGGGACUUUCCGGUCCUCAGUGCCGCAGCAAACGCAUUAAGCGCUCCGC